CUGCAAAAAGUGUGAGGGGAAAGUGGAUGGGGGCGAGGGAUGAGAAAGGGGUCGCUCAAAGUCUGCUAGGGCGGUGGGAGCGAGACGAGGAGCCGCGAACGUCGGGUGCACCGUCGGGACAGAGAGUGCAGGGAGUCGGGGCCCGGAGGACCACUGAUGAUAGACAAAACAGGACUAGGAGGUGAAUUGUUCUGGGUUCCAGUUUUACCCAUCCUGUUUAGAGUCUCUGUCUCCACAUCUCUAGAAUGAAGAUAAUGUUUAAUCAAGCUUUGCAAAUUAUUUCUCCAGUGGACCAGCCCCACAGGGGCCAUCUGAGUACCAAGGAAGCCAGUGCUACCUCGGAACCUCCUCCACCCACCAGAACCUUCUUAAACCAAGGGUUAGCAAUUAUGGCCUAUAGGCCAUAUCUGGCCUUCUGCCUGUUUUUGUAAAUAAAGUUUUAUUGGAACAUA